CAUCAGAAAAGAAGUAAAACAGCUUUUAAGGGGCUACGGAACAGCUGUUGGUUUUCGAUUUUAGUGACUUACACGAAAGUGUAAGUCACUAAAGUCGCUAAAGGCGGCGAAAAACAAACUGGCUAUUUUUCCGACAUGUAUGUAAUUUACAGACUCGAAUUUUUAUUUUCUCCAGCCUUGGUCAUGUUUUCAUCCAGAAUGAGUCUCGCUGAAAUAUUUCUUUGUAAUAUACUUUUCGGAAAAAAAUAUUGAACUAGCGAGCAAAGUGCGCUGGUCUGUUCAUUGCGCAAAACGCGUUUGCCGCAUUUUAUGUGCGUGGGAUAUACGGAAUGUGAGCAUUUGAACCGGUUCGUAUGCCUUUAAUGUGUUUAAAAUGAUCAAAAAAAAUCGGAUCUCUUGAUUUUUUUUAGUUUGCCUUACAAUGUUCUUUCUCUCUUUCUUCUUUAAGGAAAAACUUAAAGUCAUACUUUGCACCCCCAAAAACAUAAAAAAUGACAUAUCAAAAACUCGCAAAUCACGUCGUUAAAAUGAAAUUGUGGUUUCCUGAUCUACAACUGCCUUUUUAGAAAAAAUAAUUUAUAUAAGAAGAAAUUUAUCGUACGCCGUCCGUUAAUAUCGGUAAUUAAGAUGGCUAGAUUGGUUUUCUUUGGCGGGUUAAUCAAGCUAAAUAAUUAUAAUUACAAGACCGUAAUUAUGAUAAUUAUGAUCUCGUUUAAUCAGUCUCUUUAUUAACAGCCGAUUAAUCGAAAAAGUUGAUAAGCGAUACCGAGAUAAUUUUUAAGUUUUUUUUUAAAUGCUCUUUCUUAUCAACAGAUAUUUUUUAUGUCUAUAAAUGAUGGUUUUAAUAUUGUAACCGAAGUCUUAUCAGUAUGGGAGAAUGACAUUGUGUUUUUCAAUAUAGAGACUUAAAAAGGAGUCGCACCCCAACUUGCUCUACAUUUGCAUAACUAACUGUACAUUAUUGAUUUGAUUUUAAAUUUAUAGUUUAUGGAUGCUUUUCAAAUUUAAAUGUCUCAAAGGCGUGUUGUAGCAGUAAAAGUUUCUCAAUAUCGGUAGGAGUUACUCGCUGUCGGUAGAAAAUUUCAUUAUGCUAAUUUUAUUGUGUGUACACACGUAAGUAAAAAUUCUGAUACGAAGAAUAAGCACGUGGACUUUAAAAUCGUGUAUAUUACAGAUAUCAUUUUCGAGCUGUAGAUUGACAAAUAAAAUUGGUAAAAACAAAAUCAAUAUCUCCCAACUUUGUACCCAGUGCUUUCAGUUAUCUAUCCCAUCUAUGAAACAGUGAUCCUAUCUAACGCACUUUAAAAGUACUAAGUACAAGGUAUGCGUGUAUUACUCACUGCUAUGAAUAUACUAAUUUUUCUAAACUAUUAUUUUCCUGAAACAGUUUAACUUAUCCUUCCGUCAUAGCAAACAAUGUUGUUGUGUUUGUCGGCAAAAAUUGGUCUGUAAUGCUAUCUGUCAGCAAAAACGAUAACGAGCAGAUUCCUGCCUUCGGGGUUUUGGAAUAUUAUCUUAAGUUUUCUUUUGAACUUCCAAAGCAUGCUUGACAACGUUAUUUUUUAUUGACAUGCUGAUUUCUAGUGACAAAGAAAUAUUUCUUUUUUAAACUUUAGCCUAUUAAUUUUGCGAAUUUCGUUCAAAAUUUUCACGAAAGUUUAUUGUGUGCAUUAAUUAGUUCUAAUCAAUAAACGUCACCAGAAUAAUACUAUGAUCCUAAACUAAUCGUUGCUGUGAUUUGAAUGGUAUUUAAAUCGACAGCUUUUAGCGUUACACAUGCACAUUACCCAAACCGCCAUUUUUAGUUUACGCAACGUUCUCCACUAUAAAAAAUAUGUUACGUGUUUAUCAUUUUUUGUUUACAUUAUGACGCAAAUAAAUAAAUAAAACUAGCGUUGUCAAGGUAACGAACAUGUCACUGCACGCUAACGUCGUUGUUGGUUGUUUGUGGUUGAUAUAUCAUAGGGUUGUCCCGUCAUGACGUUAUGCCAUAAAAAUUCUUCAUGUUAUGUUAUUUAAAAUUGUUUUUUAAUAAUUAUUAUAAUUAUAAAAACGAGUAGGCAUUUUAAUUUGAGCUGUAUUGAUCUAAAAAAGUUUCUGUGAUUUUAAACAGCAUGGUGACAUGGUGAAGAUAUUUUAAAUGAAAUAAUUAAAAGAAUAAUCACUAAAUUAAUAGAUAAACAUAACACAAAAAUUAAAAUUAAAUAUCUUUAUAUAUUGUACUCCAAUUUUCGACCAAUUACAGUUUACAAAUUUUCACGAAAAUACUUCCAAACACGAUAUAUAUUUCCUAUGUAAGAGCAGAUGAAAAAGAGGAACGAACUUUGUUUCACACUUCGAACAAUUGCAAACGAGGUUCAUCAACACCUUCAGGAAUAUCGCCAUGUUUCUCACGUUACCUUUAUUUCCACAGGAAGUUAGAGAAACAUUUAAAACUCGCCAAAAAAGUUCAGUGAAGAUUACAAACAAAUAAAAACUACACAAAACAAGUUCGUUUUUAAUAAAAAUUACAACAUCAUGAUGAAGUGUUUUGUAUUCUUUUUCUGUGUUUACAUCACAGUCAUCUUGGCAAGAGUUCCCAUAGAUGAGACAACAAAUUAUAUAGAUGAUACAACUGAUAUGAAGUAUCCAACACACGAACAAGAAAUGCGUGAAAUUGAUCAACCAGGAAUAUUGUUUAGAAGAGAAUAUGAUGACGACAUGGAUGACCUGCCGCAAUUUGCAUGAAAACAAAUGAAAAAAGAAGGGCUUGUAAAAUAUAUAUUCUAUAAAUAAGACAUGAUAAAUAAAUAAA